rnacentral:rRNA from 1 species
AUUGAACGCUGGCGGCAGGCCUAACACAUGCAAGUCGAGCGGGGUUUUCGGACCUAGCGGCGGACGGGUGAGUAAUGCGUAGGAAGCUGCCCGAUAGAGGGGGAUACCAGUUGGAAACGACUGUUAAUACCGCAUAAUGUCUACGGACCAAAGUGUGGGACCGUCGGGCCACAUGCUAUCGGAUGCGCCUACGUGGGAUUAGCUAGUUGGUGAGGUAAUGGCUCACAAAGGCGACGAUCUCUAGCUGGUUUGAGAGGAUGAUCAGCCAUACUGGAACUGAGACACGGUCCAGACUCCUACGGGAGGCAGCAGUGGGGAAUAUUGGACAAUGGGCGCAAGCCUGAUCCAGCCAUGCCGCGUGUGUGAAGAAGGCCUUCGGGUUGUAAAGCACUUUCAGCGAGGAGGAAGGGUGGUGUGUUAAUAGCACAUCAUUUUGACGUUACUCGCAGAAGAAGCACCGGCUAACUCUGUGCCAGCAGCCGCCGUAAAAC